AUGGCAUCCUCACUUGGACCAUCAACAUGGCCUCCUGCAUGGCCCCAUUUUCCACCUGCAAUGGUGGUAACCCCUACACAAAAGGCAUGUGAUUGAGUUGAGCAUAUUAAGAAAAUUAAGUCACAUGUCAUUCAAAAAAUGGUUUGAAUCACAGUCUUGGACCAUACCAAGUCAUGAAGAAUGCAAUAAUUUCUCGCAUCAAGACAGUAUAGAAAGAUGGAAUCCAUUAGGAGGUUAAGAAUAGUAUAGUUAUGUAAACAUAGAUGGUCUUCUAUUUUGAGAAUUUCAGCAUAUUGGUUCACUCAUUUCAUUCUUAAGCAGCAUGAGAUUCCAAGGAAUCUUGUGUGUAUACCUUCAUCACUGAUUUUUCUGAUGGCCAUAUUCAAUGUGUCUGCUAUGUAAAUAUUCCCUCUAUCAUCCACUAUUUGAACCGGUUAUGGGUUGAACCGAUGUAAAGAAAAAGAUGAGAGACGAUUAUUGAACCUGUUAUGGAUUG
rnacentral:lncRNA from 1 species